rnacentral:rRNA from 1 species
CUCGCCUUCUGCCAGCGGUCCGGCGGAUCCCAGUUCUGGCAAUCCAUCAUUCAGCUCCUUCCAGUCCUCCGCGUCGGGACCUCGAUUGUGGUUGGAUCUGGCACCGACACGCUGUUCUGGUUCGAUAGAUGGGCUGGGGACUCCCCCUUCGCGGCUCGCUUCCCUGAUCUGUUCUCCAUCGCGGUAGAUCCACGGAUUUCAGUAGCGGUAGCCCUUAUUGACUUAGGGCACCUCGCGUUCCGGAGACCUUUUGGACCGGCGGAAAAUGAUGCGUGGCAGGACUUGCUUGACUGCAUUGCUUUGCACGAGCCGGAUCUGGAGAUUGGAGAGGACCACACCAGGUGGCGGCUAGAGCCAUCUGGACAAUUCUCCUCUAAAUCUCUCUACCAGGCCAUAGCCCCUUCACCGGGCCCUGAGGCUCUCAUCGCCAUCUGGGAAGAUUAG